AGCCAACUGACGAGUCCCAAACAGGACGAAACGUGCGUCCUGGAU
rfam:Schistosoma margrebowiei strain Zambia genome assembly, scaffold: SMRZ_scaffold0000589